rnacentral:rRNA from 1 species
AACGUAGGGGACAAGCGUUAUCCGGAUUUAUUGGGCGUAAAGCGCUCGUAGGCGGCUUGACAAGUUGGAUGUGAAAGCUCCUGGCUUAACUGGGAGAGGCCGUUCAAAACUGUCAAGCUAGAGUCUGGAAGAGGAGAGCGGAAUUCCCGGUGUAGUGGUGGAAUGCGUAGAGAUCGGGAGGAACACCAGUGGCGAAAGCGGCUCUCUGGUCCAACACUGACGCUCAGGCACGAAAGCGUGGGGAGCAAACAGG